GGCUCUUUGAAAUAAAUAUAUAAAGAGUCGAACCUGCCCAGUGAUUUUUUAAACGGCCGCGGUACUCUGACCGUGCAAAGGUAGCAUAAUCAUUUGCCCUAUAAUUGAGGGCUAGUAUGAACGGUUUGACAAGAGCAUAACUGUCUCUUUAAAAUUUUAUAAAAUUUGGUUUUUAGGUGAAGAAACCUAAAUGAAAUUGAAAGACAAGAAGACCCUAUCGAGCUUUAGAGUAAUUAAUUAAAAAAUAUGAUUAAAAUAAUUAAUUUUAAUUUAAAAACUUUGGUUGGGGCGACUGAGGAACAUAUAAAGCUUCUUCUAUUAGAAUGUGCCUGUAAGCUAUGAUCCAAAAAUUUUGAUUAAAAAAAUUAGUUACCGUAGGGAUAACAGCAUAAUCUUUUUCAAGAGUUCUUAUCGAAAAAAAGGUUUGUGACCUCGAUGUUGGACUAGGAUAUCCUAAAGAUGCAGAAAUCUUUAAAAGUUGGUCUGUUCGACCAUUAAAAUCCU
rnacentral:rRNA from 1 species